UGGGGAAUCUUCCGCAAUGGACGAAAGUCUGACGGAGCAACGCCGCGUGAGUGAAGACGGCCUUCGGGUUGUAAAGCUCUGUGAUUCGGGACGAAAGGCCAAAUGUGAAUAAUAUAUGGAAAUGACGGUACCGAAAAAGCAAGCCACGGCUAACUACGUGCCAGCAGCCGCGGUAAUACGUAGGUGGCAAGCGUUGUCCGGUAUUAUUGGGCGUAAAGCGCGCGCAGGCGGUCACUUAAGUCCAUCUUAGAAGUGCGGGGCUUAACCCCGUGAUGGGAUGGAAACUGGGAGACUGGAGUAUCGGAGAGGAAAGUGGAAUUCCUAGUGUAGCGGUGAAAUGCGUAGAUAUUAGGAAGAACACCGGUGGCGAAGGCGACUUUCUGGACGAAAACUGACGCUGAGGCGCGAAAGCGUGGGGAGCAAACAGG
rnacentral:rRNA from 1 species